GACGAACGCUGGCGGCGUGCUUAACACAUGCAAGUCGAACGGAAAGGCCCUGCUUUUGUGGUGUGCUGGAGUGUCGAACGGGUGAGUAACACGUGAGUAACCUGCGCUUUACUGUGGGAUAACUUCAGGAAACUGGAGCUAAUAUCGGACAUGAGCACCGGCGGCAUGGUGGGGGUUUUAAAGUUUCGGCGGUUGGGCAUGGACAGGGGGACUUGCGUUGUGUUGGUGGGGUGGUGGGUUAAUAAGGCUUUGACGGGUAGCCGGCCUGAGAGGGUGACCGGCCACAUUGGCACUGGGAUAGGAGCCAGACUGCUACGGGAGGCAGGAGGGGGGAAUAUUGCACAAUGGGCGGAAGGCGGAUGCAGGGACGUCGGGUGCGGGAUGACGGCUUUCGGGUUAGAAACCGCUUUCGCCUGUAAAGAAGAGUGAGUGACGGUAAUGGGUAAAGAAGCACCGGCUAACUACGUG
rnacentral:rRNA from 1 species